rnacentral:snoRNA from 12 species
UGGUCAUUACCAAGGCUGCUGGGAUGUUCCUGUUUCUGGUGAGCUGUGGACAUGACCAUAAAGCAAAUCCACCAGACUCAUGUGUUGUCUGUCACAUGACGUGGCACCAAGUCUGCUGGGAAUAAAG